rnacentral:lncRNA from 1 species
GUUAAUUAAAUAAUACACAAAUAUUAAAUCAUUUAUUUAUUUUCUUAUAAAGCACGUUAAACGUUAGACUAAUGUUUUCUAUUCAUCAUGCAAGUUUCUAGAUAAUGUUUUCCUUUUUGAAUCAGUGCAACAAUUCGAACGGUGGACGGCUAAAGCACUGACCCGUGCUCCUCGCACCAUUACGUCGCUUUAGAAGAUGGAUUACAUCCUUUUACAAAGUCCAUCAGAUUCGGUCCAAUUACGAUCGGCCACAAAAGAAAAGUUCGGCCCAUUAGGUCACGUCAACCCAUGGCGAAUGUAAAAGAUGAUUGUCUAUAAAAGCAGGAUGAGACCAAC